UUGAACGCUGGCGGCAUGCUUUACACAUGCAAGUCGAACGGUAACAGGUUAAGCUGACGAGUGGCGAACGGGUGAGUAAUGCAUCGGAACGUGCCCGAUCGUGGGGGAUAACGCAGCGAAAGCUGCGCUAAUACCGCAUACGAUCUGAGGAUGAAAGCGGGGGCUCGCAAGACCUCGCGCGUUUGGAGCGGCCGAUAUCUGAUUAGCUAGAUGGUGGGGUAAAGGCUCACCAUGGCGACGAUCAGUAGCUGGUCUGAGAGGAUGAUCAGCCACACUGGAACUGAGACACGGUCCAGACUCCUACGGGAGGCAGCAGUGGGGAAUUUUGGACAAUGGGGGAAACCCUGAUCCAGCCAUUCCGCGUGAGUGAAGAAGGCCUUCGGGUUGUAAAGCUCUUUCGGCAGGAACGAAACGGCGGAUACUAAUAUUAUCCGUUACUGACGGUACCUGAAGAAGAAGCACCGGCUAACUACGU
rnacentral:rRNA from 1 species